rnacentral:misc_RNA from 1 species
UCUCCGUAGGUGAACCUGCGGAGGGAUCAUUACCGAGUGAGGGUUCCGGCCCGACCUCCAACCCCAUGUGAACCGCAACUGUUGCUUCGGGGGCGACCCUGCCGGCACUACGUCGCCGGGCGCCCCCGGAGGUCUUCUAAACACUGCAUCUUUGCGUCGGAGUUUAAACAAAUUAAACAAAACUUUCAACAACGGAUCUCUUGGUUCUGGCAUCGAUGAAGAACGCAGC